rnacentral:rRNA from 1 species
AUUGAACGCUGGCGGCAUGCCUUACACAUGCAAGUCGAACGGCAGCACGGGUGCUUGCACCUGGUGGCGAGUGGCGAACGGGCGAGUAAUACAUCAGAACGUACCUUAUCGUGGGGGAUAACGCAGCGAAAGUUGCGCUAAUACCGCAUACGCCCUGAGGGGGAAAGCGGGGGACCGUAAGGCCUCGCGCGAUUAGAGCGGCCGAUGUCUGAUUAGCUUGUUGGUGAGGUAAAAGCUCACCAAGGCGAUGAUCAGUAGCUGGUCUGAGAGGAAGAUCAGCCACACUGGGACUGAGACACGGCCCAGACUCCUACGGGAGGCAGAAGUGGGGAAUUUUGGACAAUGGGGGCAACCCUGAUCCAGCAAUGCCGCGUGAGUGAAGAAGGCCUUCGGGUUGUAAAGCUCUUUUGUCAGGGAAGAAACAGCAGUUCUAACACAGUCUGCGAAUGACGGUACCUGAAGAAUAAGCACCGGCUAACUACGUGCCAGCCGCCGCCGUAA